rnacentral:rRNA from 1 species
GACGAACGCUGGCGGCGUGCUUAACACAUGCCAGUCGAACGGAAAGGCCCUGCUUGCAGGGUACUCGAGUGGCGAACGGGUGAGUAACACGUGGGUGAUCUGCCCUGCACUUCGGGAUAAGCUUGGGAAACUGGGUCUAAUACCGGAUAGGACCGCACUUUAGUGUGUGUGGUGGAAAGUUUUUUCGGUGUAGGAUGAGCUCGCGGCCUAUCAGCUCGUUGGUGGGGUAAUGGCCUACCAAGGCGGCGACGGGUAGCCGGCCUGAGAGGGUGUACGGCCACAGUGGGACUGAGAUACGGCCCAGACUCCUACGGGAGGCAGCAGUGGGGAAUAUUGCACAAUGGGCGCAAGCCUGAUGCAGCGACGCCGCGGGGGGGAGGAAGGCCUUCGGGUUGUAAACUCCUUUCGCUAGGGACGAAGCUUUUUGUGACGGUACCUAGAUAAGAAGCACCGGCUAACUACGUG